GAUGAACGCUGGCGGCGUGCCUAAUACAUGCAAGUCGAGCGAACGGACGAGAAGCUUGCUUCUCUGAUGUUAGCGGCGGACGGGUGAGUAACACGUGGAUAACCUACCUAUAAGACUGGGAUAACUUCGGGAAACCGGAGCUAAUACCGGAUAAUAGUUUGAACCGCAUGGUUCAAAAGUGAAAGACGGUCUUGCUGUCACUUAUAGAUGGAUCCGCGCUGCAUUAGCUAGUUGGUAAGGUAACGGCUUACCAAGGCAACGAUGCAUAGCCGACCUGAGAGGGUGAUCCGCCACACUGGAACUGAGACACGGUCCAGACUCCUACGGGAGGCAGCAGUAGGGAAUCUUCCGCAAUGGGCGAAAGCCUGACGGAGCAACGCCGCGUGAGUGAUGAAGGUCUUCGGAUCGUAAAACUCUGUUAUUAGGGAAGAACAUAUGUGUAAGUAACUGUGCACAUCUUGACGGUACCUGAUCAGAAAGCCACGGCUAACUACGUG
rnacentral:rRNA from 1 species